rnacentral:rRNA from 1 species
AUUGAACGCUGGCGGCAGGCCUAACACAUGCAAGUCGAGCGGAUGAAGAGAGCUUGCUCCUGGAUUCAGCGGCGGACGGGUGAGUAAUGCCUAGGAAUCUGCCUGGUAGUGGGGGAUAACGUCCGGAAACGGGCGCUAAUACCGCAUACGUCCUGAGGGAGAAAGUGGGGGAUCUUCGGACCUCACGCUAUCAGAUGAGCCUAGGUCGGAUUAGCUAGUUGGUGGGGUAAAGGCCUACCAAGGCGACGAUCCGUAACUGGUCUAAGAGGAUGAUCAGUCACACUGGAACUGGGACACGGUCCAGACUCCUACGGGAGGCAGCAGUGGGGAAUAUUGGACAAUGGGCGAAAGCCUGAUCCAGCCAUGCCGCGUGUGUGAAGAAGGUCUUCGGAUUGUAAAGCACUUUAAGUUGGGAGGAAGGGCAGUAAGUUAAUACCUUGCUGUUUUGACGUUACCAACAGAAUAAGCACCGGCUAACUUCGUG